rnacentral:rRNA from 1 species
GACGAACGCUGGCGGCAGGCCUAACACAUGCAAGUCGAACGAGUGGCGGACGGGUGAGUAAUGUCUGGGAAACUGCCCGAUGGAGGGGGAUAACUACUGGAAACGGUAGCUAAUACCGCAUACCAUCGGAUGUGCCCAGAUGGGAUUAGCUAGUAGGUGGGGUACCGGCUCACCUAGGCGACGAUCCCUAGCUGGUCUGAGAGGAGUACCGGCCAAACUGGAACUGAGACGAGGGGCAGAGUCCGACGGGAGGCAGGAGUUGGGAAUAUUGCACAAUGGGCGCAAGCCUGAUGCAGCCAUGCCGCGUGUAUGAAGAAGGCCUUCGGGUUGUAAAGUACUUUCAGCGAGGAGGCGUUACUCGCAGAAGAAGCACCGGCUAACUCCGUGCCAGCAGCCGCGGUAAUAC